ACAAUGGAGAGUUUGAUCCUGGCUCAGGAUGAACGCUAGCUACAGGCUUAACACAUGCAAGUCGAGGGGAAACGACAUCGAAAGCUUGCUUUUGAUGGGCGUCGACCGGCGCACGGGUGAGUAACGCGUAUCCAACCUGCCCACCACUUGGGGAUAACCUUGCGAAAGUAAGACUAAUACCCAAUGACGUCUCUAGAAG
rnacentral:rRNA from 1 species